rnacentral:misc_RNA from 1 species
GAAAUGCGAUAAGUAAUGUGAAUUGCAGAAUUCAGUGAAUCAUCGAAUCUUUGAACGCACAUUGCGCCCUUUGGUAUUCCGAAGGGCAUGCCUGUUCGAGCGUCAUUUCACCACUCAAGCCUGGCUUGGUAUUGGGCGUCGCGGUUUUCCGCGCGCCUUAAAGUCUUCCGGCUGAGCUGUCCGUCUCUAAGCGUUGUGGAUUUUUCAAUUCGCUUCGGAGUGCGGAUGGCCGCGGCCGUUAAAUCUUUAUUCAAAGGUUGACCUCGGAUCAGGUAGGGAUACCCGCUGAACUUAA